rnacentral:lncRNA from 1 species
GUCCUACUCCUCUGUAUUGUGGAGCUGGAUAGUCUCGACAACGCAAACCGGUGGCAGAGGACGGGUCGGACUCGCUUGAAUCGUCUCAGAGCUGCGUCGGCCUUUCGGACCUGCGAUCGUUGUGUCGUCGUGUGAAGAUGCGUUAGAGUUGUUGGGUGGUGCUGCGUUCAGUGCAGCAGCGGCGGCGGCGCUGAUAUUGUUGGGAAACGUC